rnacentral:rRNA from 1 species
GUUUAUCAAAAACAUGUCUUUUUGAAUUUAAUAUAAAGUCUAACCUGCCCCCUGAAUUUUAAAUGGCCGCAGUAUUUUAACUGUGCAAAGGUAGCAUAAUCAUUAGUCUUUUAAUUGAAGGCUGGAAUGAAUGGUUGAAUGAGGCAUUAACUGUUUCUUAUAUAUUUAAAAUAGAAAUUUAUUUUUUAGUAAAAAAGCUAAAAUUAAUUUAAAAGACAAGAAGACCCUAUAAAUCUUUAUAUUUUAUUGGGGUGAUAAUGAAAUUAUAAAACUUUUUAAUUAAUAAAAUAAGUUACUUUAGGGAUAACAGCAUAAUUUUUUUAACAAGUUCAUAUUAAUAAAAAAGAUU